rnacentral:rRNA from 1 species
GGGGAAUUUUGGACAAUGGGCGCAAGCCUGAUCCAGCCAUUCCGCGUGAGUGAAGAAGGCCUUCGGGUUGUAAAGCUCUUUCGCAAGGGAAGAAACGUUACAGUCUAAUAAACUGUGAUAAUGACGGUACCUUGAKAAKAAGCACCGGCUAACUACGUGCCAGCAGCCGCGGUAAUACGUAGGGUGCRAGCGUUAAUCGGAAUUACUGGGCGUAAAGCGUGCGCAGGCGGUUUUGUAAGUCAGAUGUGAAAUCCCCGAGCUCAACUUGGGAACUGC